AGGAAGUUAGGCUGAGGGGCAGAGAGCGAGACUUUUCUAUUUUCCAAAAGCUCGGUCUGAGGCCCCUCAGUCUUGCUUCCU
rnacentral:pre_miRNA from 1 species